rnacentral:rRNA from 1 species
CGUAGGUGGCAAGCGUUGUCCGGAUUUAUUGGGUUUAAAGGGUGCGUAGGCGGUCCUAUAAGUCAGUGGUGAAAUACGGCAGCUCAACUGUCGAGGUGCCAUUGAUACUGCAGGACUAGAGUACUGAUGAGGUAGGCGGAAUGGACGGUGUAGCGGUGAAAUGCUUAGAUAUCGUCCAGAACACCGAUAGCGAAGGCAGCUUACUAAAGAGUAACUGACGCUGAGGCACGAAAGUGUGGGGGAUCAAACAGGAUUAGAUACCCUGGUAGUCCACACUGUAAACGUUGAUCACUAGAUGUUGGCGAUACACUGCCAGCGUUCCAGCAAAAGCGAUAAGUGAUCCACCUGGGGAGUACGCCGCAAGGGUG